UGUCGCCCAACCAGGAACUAAUACUUGCUGUGUAUGUAUGUGAAUACAGUGCACAGUGUCAUGUAGGGUCAACUCAGCCACGAAAACAACUACGUAAGGAGUUAAAUGAACAAUUUUCAAACAUGUGGUACAUGUUAUCGAGAUUGCAUCAGUAAAACGGAAUGUACAUGUGCCUUUGCCACCGUGGACGUCAAAAGCCGAGAGCGUCUACCGCAGUACACCCUGUCCACGUGGAAAACCAAGAGUUGGCAGUGACUAUGCAUAUGGAACACUUCAACACAGUUGUGUAUAAGAUAACGAUCGUUCCAUCAACCACCCUGCUACUGUGCGGACCGUAGUUGCCGCAGCUGCAGGUGGGUGAAGGUGCCGACGUUAACAGUCCAGGUAUCGUCGAUGAGGUGUGGGACGUUGUCACAGAUGGCAGGGCGGAGAUACCACUCCAGGAUUUGACACUUUCAAACCAAAUUGUGCACAACACCUCUUGUAAUGUCAUGUCCUGACUGAACAGGCUGUGGACUGUGAUGGUUGAAUUACUGGCGAUGUUUUUAGAGGAUCAUAAAUAAUAUAAUGACGUCUAUGUGUUUCUCAAUUUGACAGUACCAUGAUCGUCGAUUUAAACGGAGAAAUAAACGCCAAACACAUGCGUUGCUAUGGAUUUUGCUCCCACAUCAAGUUGACACUCUCUGAUAUACACCAAAUCGGCUCACUUUUAAAUAAAGGUGUUAUCCAUUGAAAUAUUAUAAAUGAACAUUAUCAUCUUACAGGCCAAGGUAUUUUACACUGGUAAGUUAGAUUUCAAGUUGCCACCCACUUGUUCCUUGUGACCUCAAUGG